ACAAAAUGCGUACACACAAAACCUAAAACACACAUAAUGAAUCAACAAAAACACACACAUGUAUUAUUUUUCUCUCGGUGACUCCAGCCGCCAACUACCACCGGAUUUGUAUCCGGUGUCAUAGCCACAACCAUCGCCGCCGGUUUCACCACAGUCAAUAUGGGGUCUCUGGAUCCAGCGGCUUCAUCACCACCAAAUACCACCGCCGGAUUCAUCACAACUAUCAAGAUCACCACCGACUGUUUCCGGCCAUCAUCUCACUCAUAUCCGAUGGUUCAGAUCAAUAGCUUGUCGUAUCACUUCCGUUUCUAAGGAUCUGGAAAUUGGCAGUUACCACCACUUGCCACCAUCAUUUUAUCAGGGAGAUCCAAAUCAAUUUCAAUUGCCACCACCAUGCAUCUUUUAGGUCUGAUCUGGGGUAACCACUAGUAAUCGCCAAAACCACCGCCUCCUUUAACCGCCCUCCGUGAAUAAGUAAGUUAUAGUUAUUAUAUGAAAAAAGAUUUAAUUCACCCAACAAUCUUUAUAUGGUUAUUGAUAUUACAGUUUUUCCUUUGGAUAUUAUCAUCGUUUGUGAAAGCAGAUGUUAUCAUCUGUUGUUAUUGGCAGUGUUUAGCAUAUAUUGGAUUUCAAAGCGGAUAUCAUCAGCGCUUGUAGUUUUAGCAUUAUUGACGUAUGCUUUAUAAUAAUUUUCUAACCCUAACAAAUCACACUAAGGUGCAUAUUCUUUCAAACACACUACUCUAUCACAUAAAAUACACACACACACACACACCACCAUUUCCACCUCUGUGUCCCACCAGCAAUCACCUCGAUUGGAAAAAUGGUGGAAGCAGUCGUCGCCGCCAUCACCACUCCCCUUACCGCCAUUCAACGCCAUCCACUAACACCGCAAGUUACCUCCCGCACAAACACCUAUGUCAGUAAUGAAAGGGGCACCAACACAUCUAAUCAAGAGAACUCAUCAUCAGAAACUAUAAUGUGUAAAAAAUUUAUUCGCCUUCAAUUGAGAUAGCUUAUGAUAUCAAGAAAUUCUUAUGGACACAAGCUAUGGAGCUACACCAGUUUGUCUUGAUGACUUGCUCAUAAAGAAUUCUUGGUAUUUAUUUGUUUUAUUAAUUGUGUUUGUAUUUAUCGGUUAUUAUUCAUGACUGAGUUGUAGUUUAAGUAAUAUCGUUUUAGACUCUUGGACCCAUGCUCCAUGAAGGACUUAUAAUUUAACUUUGAUAUACUUUCAUGUGUACCAAAGUUAGUGUUGUCAUCCCAUUUUCAUGGACCACACUUAGUUACCAAGUGUAUGUUAUUAGUAGUUUUACAUUCAUAUGGAGGACUCUUCAUUAUAUAAGAGCUUUUACAUAUUGUUUUUAACUUCUAUUAUUUCAAUAUACAUGGUAAUGAGCAAGACUAUGGUCGUGUAGUGGAUGCUUAUAUGCUCUCAAAAUCAUGCUCAGGAAAAGUUUAACUUGGGAUACAAGCAUGGGCAGGCCAAGGAUUUCCUUUGGAUCUUCAUCUUGCCAAACUUUGCUUAACUACUACUCAUUUGCAAAUUUGGAAAUAAUUUUUUUAUAUCAUAACAAUUGUUUUAUUUUGCAUAUCCAUCCCGUAUUUGUAGCAAUCUAUUUAAAUGCUAAUGCAUGUGUCCCAAGUUAGCAUGUGUCAAAUGGUUGUUAACAGCAGUCGCAUGACAUA